rnacentral:lncRNA from 1 species
UCCUGCACAAAGAGGUAGAAAUAACAUUCAUUUGGAAACAAAUAUUCAGUACUACUUUAACUUCCUUGUCAAUACGUGUAUAUUGCGAGGGUUGUGAAUCCUAAGCAUUUUCGCUAUGUACAAAAAAAGAAACCGAGAUUUAACACGUAUGCAAAGAUACUUACCAACAUAAAAGGAGCUCCUACACACACCUCCAAAAAGGCCCGGAAGUGGUUGGAGGACAACUUGCCUUUCUCGCAAAAGGAAAUGUGGCCCCUACUCACCAGAUGUCAAAACAUUUGACUUCACUUUUUGGGUGUAUGUUGAGUCCAAGGCCUGCACCGACCGUGACCCAAAUAUCAACAACCUCAAGGACACCGUCAACCAGCUUCAGGAUGCCAUGCCUGAGUACUACAUUUGCAAUGGAUGCAAGGUCUACCAUUGCCACCUGGAAGACAUCAUUGCAGGGGCUACAUCGAUGAUUAGGGUAGCCAAGACACUUAUAUUCGUUAUUUAUAUUUUAUGGACAUAACCUAUUACAACUGGUUGCUAAAAUACAUCAAUAUAAAGUUCUAGUUUGAAAGUAUAAAGAUAUUUUCGAUGCAGCCGAAAUUGGAUAUUUGGGGAUGCUAUAGUCACACCGCCCACCUCUUGCGGACGCCCUUGCUUAGUCAAAAUGAAAAGAAUGCCUGCUCAAUGAGAAAAUUUUUGAGUUAAAUAAGUUUUCACAGAAUCAACAAGAUUAUAAAAUACAACGGAAUUUACAGACACCUCAAAGAUAUCCUGGUAUUUGGGAGAGAAAAUAAGUGGUGUAUGUCCAGUACAAUGCCUCACAGAAAAUAGCUCAAUUCAGUUGUUAUGUACAUAGUCCAUACAAAUUAUAGUUUCAUUACUAUGAUUAACUGUUAAAUGGAAGUGGUUUUAAACAGAUCAACUUUGGUGAUUUCAAUAAAUGAAGAGGAGGAUGAUACGCCCAAAUACAAUUAAUAGGCACCCAUGUGCAUAAAUACCUUUUAAAAUAACAUGAUUUUAAGUAUUAAAACAUGCAAUUAAAAUAUCUUUGACUUGUUAGCGCGUAAUCCGAUCGAUCAUAAAUUAAAUGUUGAAAAAAUAGAUUAGGCAAGGUUCUUUCAUUCAACUUGAAAAGUUGAUUUGUAUAUCAAUAAAGGCGUACAGUUAUAUGGUAAUAAACAGUGCAUGAAUUGAUAUUUGCAUCCAUUCUGUAUAAUUACCAAAAUUUAAGUGAUUUUGAAAGAAAAGUUGCGAGAUAUACUAGGAUAAAGACCUGAUAAGAAUUCAAAAAUAUUGUCAAGGAAACAAUUGAAUUCAAAAUAAAUAUAUAUAAUAUUUAAUUAACUCAAUCCAUCAUCGUUUGUGUGCAAAUGAAUAUAUAUUUCUAUUCAAAAUAUUUGUAAAGUUAUUUUUAAAAACAAACUUGAAGCCAAAAAUAUUCUGUGUUGAUAUGCAGCGAAAUUAUAUAGGUUAUGAGGUACAAUUCACCUUCUAGAAAAAUCUAAUUAAUUUCUGAAAUUAUUUAAAAAAAAAGUAAAAUAGGACUAUAAUAGUAAUGUAGUAAGCACUGUGCUGGGCUUUCAGUGACGUCACAGAUUGUUUAAUAGACUAAAACGACCCCAAGUGACAAAAGUCCAGAUCAUGCGUUUUUUUCAAUGAGGAACCUGCGUUUCCCGUUGAAAAUAAAAUUUAUAUAAAUGGUUUGACAUAAUAUUUUAUAAAUUAAACUAAUUGCAAUUUAUCUCUUGAGUUUUUAAAGAUACAAUUAAUGAAAAUCAGUUAAUUUCGUCAUAUUGUAAUAUACAAAAACCAAUUUUUUUUCAUUCAUUUUCUACUUUGAAAUUUAUAAAAUUAUUUGAACGCAAAUAACUCAACAGAUAAUGUUGUCAGAGAAAUACAACUAAUGUUAUCAGAUCUAAAAUCAUGCAAGAAUUUUAAAUUGUUACAAUUUGUUUACAACAAGCAAUAAAAUCCGGAUUUAUUCGGGAAAAACAAAACGGUUAAAUAUUUUGCCAAAUUUAUUUUUUCAGUACAAAUUACGUUUAUAUAUGAAAAUCGAUUUUUCUAUCUUGACCACCAAGAGCACGUUUACAGAAGUCAGAUUGCAGCACCCAACUUUAUACUACUUCCUUCAAUAAAGUUACCGAUAUUGCUGUAAUUUUGCGUUGGAUAUUUUCUCUGAGCUCUUCUUACAUCGCCAGC